GAAAAAAUUUUCGUUGAAAACAAACAGAAAGGUAAAAUCACCAAGUCGUAAGUUGUGUCUUUCCUUCUUUCUUUCACUUUGGAGUAUGGCUUCCUCUCGACGCUAAAAUUUUGUGAAUGUAAAGAUAUGGAAGGAGGAUCCGUGAAG
rnacentral:ribozyme from 1 species